rnacentral:rRNA from 1 species
AUGAACGCUGGCGGCGUGCCUAAUACAUGCAAGUCGAGCGAACGGACGAGAAGCUUGCUUUUCUGAUGUUAGCGGCGGACGGGUGAGUAACACGUGGAUAACCUACCUAUAAGACUGGGAUAACUUCGGGAAACCGGAGCUAAUACCGGAUAAUAUUUUGAACCGCAUGGUUCAAAAGUGAAAGACGGUCUUGCUGUCACUUAUAGAUGGAUCCGCGCUGCAUUAGCUAGUUGGUAAGGUAACGGCUUACCAAGGCAACGAUGCAUAGCCGACCUGAGAGGGUGAUCGGCCAACCGGGAACUGAGAAACGGUCCAGACUCCUACGGGAGGCAGCAGGAGGGAAUCUUCCGCAAUGGGCGAAAGCCUGACGGAGCAACGCCGCGUGAGUGAUGAAGGUCUUCGGAUCGUAAAACUCUGUUAUUAGGGAAGAACAUAUGUGUAAGUAACUGUGCACAUCUUGACGGUACCUAAUCAGAAAGCCACGGCUAACUACGU